AGAAUACUAACCGUUCUUUGUUAUUCUAAUCUGAUUAAUGUCACAGGGGUGAAGAUGGUGAAUUGAGACUUGGAAUCCGAAGAGCACCUCAUGUAAAAAGUGGUGCUACUUUCCCUUCUUUCUGCAGCCAACAGUCGAGUCCCAAUUCUGUCACAGAUGUGGUUGAUGCCAUAGCUAGGAAGCGUGCUUUUAGCAUUUCCUACAAUCCAAGGUGUACUGCUGCUCCCUUCAUUUAGCAUUUUUAUGUACAGAAUAACAGCGUCACUACCUGGAUGUUAGUAUGUGAAUCUGCCAUAUUCUAGAGUAUAUAGUGCGCUCGCAUACAGGCGUCUCCCUAUCUCCAGUCAAUAGAAAUUACUUUGAUUUAUAUGGCGUUGCACUCUUGGAUUAAUGCAUGUUAUGGUGUUCCAUUAAAAAUAUAUAUUAUACAGCAAAAAGUUAAACAUUUUAACGGUUUCAAUGGAUGCUGUCAUCUGGCUGUUUAAUUUUCUUAACUGGACAAUUCCGGAACUAUGCAUACAACUUUAUGAUAUUCUGCUAUUUCAAACUCCAACCAGCUUUAUGAUUGAUCCUUCUCUAUACCUUAUGUCCUUUCUGCUUGGUGUACAUUUCUUUGAUAGACAUAUUCUGCUUGUAACUAUAUUUAACUAAUUUAUUUGUUAUCUUCUUUAGAGACUUGUUUUUUUCAAUUAUUUCCAUUCAAUAUCUUAAUUAUUAUAUUAGUCCAUUGUGUAGGGCCAGCGCCUCAGAGUUCAUAAUUCCUGUCAAUCUGCUGUACGGCCAAGGCGGAUGUACGGUACAGCAGUAUUUCAUACUUUCAUUUUAUCAUGUUAUUUAAUUCAUAACCCUUUAUAAGUAUACUAUGUGGUUGAUAUUAAAUUAUAUGUUCCACAUAAAAAGUAAUGCUAGUUUUAAUGUUAUUUAUACUAUAUAUUUAAUUAUUAUUUUCAGUUUAUUUUUUAUACUAAGCUUGAAGAAAUACAUAGAAAUUGGAGAUUGGGAGUUAAAGAUUACAUCUCCAAUGUUAGCAACAUAAAAUUGUAAAUUUAUCCCUAAUGUAAUCUAAUCGACUAAACUACCUAGCUUGUGGCAAUUUUUGAUUUUUGAUUUGCAUUCAUCCUUUUAAAUUGCAUUAAAAAUUUUACUGCAACACUACUCGGUGAGUUUUUAACUCUUCCUAACAUUAAACUUACCAACUCUUCCAACACUACUUUAUAAGUAAUUUAUGGAACAUGCGUGUCUCUCGUCAAAUUAUGGAUGUAUUAAUUAAUACAGGCCAAAUUACAUAACAUACGUGGCUCACGUCAAGAAAAAUGACAAAUUUUAUGACGAGGUUUCAAAUUAUUUACUAUUGAAAAUCCUCAAUUAAUUUCCUUUUGAAUUAGCUUUCACAUGAUUUGUUGGAGGUGAAGUGAGUGGAGUAGAUAAAGUCCAUUGACCCUGGUGGAGAAAAAUCCACAAAAUAGAAAAUUGUCUCUAUUAAUUUCCUGAAUUUUUUUUGGGAAAAUUUUUUUGUCAAAGAAGCUUAAAUAAGAUAAGCUCUCGCUCAAGAAUUUAUUUUAGCGUAGAUGAAUAUGCUAAUGCCGACAGUUGGAGAAGAAGAAAAAUAAAAAUCGAGAAGAACAAGUGCUAAAUGAAAUUAAUAAUUUUUAGGAGGUUGGUUUUUAGGAAAUGAGUUUACACCAUUUGAAAGAGCUUAUGGAUUAAACCUUUGUGAUUAUGGUUAAAAAAAACUGUGAAUUUAACAAACUUUCUAGUCAAGCAUUGGCUAUUGAUUCUAAAAUGGGAAACUUGGUUGUUAAGACUGCAAGCCAAUUUUUGAAUAAGUGCAUUCGUUUGUGGGGGUUGUGCCGGAUCAUUUGCCAGGAAUCCCAGGAUGAUAUUCGAGGAAUUUCCUUACAUGAAAUGCACGGUAUUUGACCUCCCACAUGUUGUUGCUAACGUGCCAGAAAAUAACAAUUUAAAUUUUGUUGGAGGUGAUAUGUUUCCCUCUAGACGACACCUAUCUAUUUGAGGUAUACUCUGCCUUCUUACUCAAAGAAUACUAUUUAUCUUAAUAUAUGUGGAUUACUUUUUAUGUUUAUGCAUUAAAGAUAUUAUGUUAGGUAUUAAAGACCUUACACUGUUAAGAAUACUAACCGUUCUUUGUUAUUCUAAUCUGAUUAAUGUCACAGGGGUGAAGAUGGUGAAUUGAGACUUGGAAUCCGAAGAGCACCUCAUGUAAAAAGUGGUGCUACUUUCCCUUCUUUCUGCAGCCAACAGUCGAGUCCCAAUUCUGUCACAGAUGUGGUUGAUGCCAUAGCUAGGAAGCGUGCUUUUAGCAUUUCCUACAAUCCAAGGUGUACUGCUGCUCCCUUCAUUUAGCAUUUUUAUGUACAGAAUAACAGCGUCACUACCUGGAUGUUAGUAUGUGAAUCUGCCAUAUUCUAGAGUAUAUAGUGCGCUCGCAUACAGGCGUCUCCCUAUCUCCAGUCAAUAGAAAUUACUUUGAUUUAUAUGGCGUUGCACUCUUGGAUUAAUGCAUGUUAUGGUGUUCCAUUAAAAAUAUAUAUUAUACAGCAAAAAGUUAAACAUUUUAACGGUUUCAAUGGAUGCUGUCAUCUGGCUGUUUAAUUUUCUUAACUGGACAAUUCCGGAACUAUGCAUACAACUUUAUGAUAUUCUGCUAUUUCAAACUCCAACCAGCUUUAUGAUUGAUCCUUCUCUAUACCUUAUGUCCUUUCUGCUUGGUGUACAUUUCUUUGAUAGACAUAUUCUGCUUGUAACUAUAUUUAACUAAUUUAUUUGUUAUCUUCUUUAGAGACUUGUUUUUUUCAAUUAUUUCCAUUCAAUAUCUUAAUUAUUA
rnacentral:lncRNA from 1 species